rnacentral:rRNA from 1 species
CGCUGGCGGCGUGUUUAACACAUGCAAGUGGAGCGACGAACCGGGGCUUGCCCCGGGGCAGAGCCGCGAACGGGUGAGUAACACGUGGGUAACCUGCCUCAAUGAUUGGGACAACCCGGGGAAACUCGGGCUAAUACCAAAUGUGUUCACUCCUUCUAAGGGGAGUGAGGAAAGGAAGCUUCGGCCUCCGCAUUGAGAUGGGCCCGCGGCCCAUUAGCUUGUUGGUGAGGUAACGGCUCACCAAGGCUUCGAUGGGUAGCUGGUCUGAGAGGACGAUCAGCCACACUGGGACUGAGACACGGCCCAGACUCCUACGGGAGGCAGCAGUGGGGAAUCUUGCACAAUGCGCGAAAGCGUGAUGCAGCAACGCCGCGUGGGGGAAGACGGCCUCCGGGUUGUAAACCCCUUUCAGUUGGGACGAAGCUUCGUCGGUGAAUAGCCGGUUGGAGUGACGGUACCUUCAGAAGAAGCCCCGGCUAACUACGUG